UACGGAGGGUGCAAGCGUUAUCCGGAUUUACUGGGUUUAAAGGGUGCGCAGGCGGAUAUGUAAGUCAGUGGUGAAAUCUCCAGGCUUAACCUGGAAAUUGCCGUUGAUACUAUAUAUCUUGAAUGCUGUGGAGGUAAGCGGAAUAUGUCAUGUAGCGGUGAAAUGCUUAGAGAUGACAUAGAACACCUAUUGCGAAGGCAGCUUACUACGCAGAUAUUGACGCUCAUGCACGAAAAGCGUGGGGGAUCAAACAGG
rnacentral:rRNA from 1 species